CCUACGGGAGGCAGCAGUGGGGAAUAUUGCACAAUGGGGGAAACCCUGAUGCAGCGACGCCGCGUGAGUGAAGAAGUAUCUCGGUACGUAAAGCUCUAUCAGCAGGGAAGAAAAUGACGGUACUUGACUAAGAAGCCCCGGCUAACUACGUGCCAGCAGCCGCGGUAAUACGUAGGGGGCAAGCGUUAUCCGGAUUUACUGGGUGGAAAGGGAGCGUAGACGGCAGCACAAGUCUGGAGUGAAAUCCCGGGGCUUAACCCCGGAACUGCUUUGGAAACUGUGCGGCUGGAGUGCAGGAGGGGUAAGCGGAAUUCCUAGUGUAGCGGUGAAAUGCGUAGAUAUUAGGAGGAACACCGGUGGCGAAGGCGGCUUACUGGACUGUAACUGACGUUGAGGCUCGAAAGCGUGGGGAGCAAACAGGAUCAGAUACCCUUGUAGUC
rnacentral:rRNA from 1 species